rnacentral:siRNA from 1 species
GGAGUCCAAUAUUUAAACGCCA